AAAAAGCCCGCUAAUGCGUCGGCAUCAGCGGGCUUGGUGCGGUACGACAGCUUAUCGACUCAGGCCGGCGGAAUACUGCCGGCCUUCGCUUUAGCUGUUUCGGGUCGCCCCGCGUCCGCAAGCUGAAAUCAAAUCGACGCAAAGUGUCAUCGUAUCACGCCUUUCCGGUACGCGCGG
rfam:Burkholderia sp. TSV86 TSV86_81, whole genome shotgun sequence.